rnacentral:rRNA from 1 species
UACAGAGGUCCCAAGCGUUGUUCGGAUUCAUUGGGCGUAAAGGGCGCGUAGGCGGCCACCGCAAGUCGAUUGUGAAAUCUCCGGGCUUAACCCGGAAAGGUCAACCGAUACUGCGGGGCUAGAGUGCAGAAGGGGCAACUGGAAUUCUCGGUGUAGCGGUGAAAUGCGUAGAUAUCGAGAGGAACACCUGCGGCGAAGGCGGGUUGCUGGGCUGACACUGACGCUGAAGUGCGAAAGCUAGGGGAGCGAACGGG